ACAUACUUGUACAAAGUAUAAAUUACGUCAAGGCACUUUUUCUUACAACUAGAUAAUGUUAUGAUUAUAAUUCUAUAUUACGAAAUACAAAAAUAAAAUGCGAGUAAAAACCGUCCUUAUCUUAAACUUCAUUAUACAAGUACACAACUUUAAGAAUAACAAUAAUCAAGCAACUAUAAGGAAUGGCGUCGUAUUUAUACUAGGCUUGACUCUUUUACCGCGCGACUUACAUAUUGUACAUUUAAAAUCGGAUGCAAAAAAAAAACAUUUAUAGCGUCGCUAUAUCGCGACAUGCGCAGUGAAAGGGUUAACGAUGUUCAGCCUCUUAUAACCUCAUUUUAAAGUUAACAACCUGUGGCCACCAGUGCCAAAAUGCUUGUUUUAACUUUUAAAUUAGUACCUCUCAAGACCCGGCAAGGGGAAAGAUCUACUAAAGUUCUCAAUCUCCUCUUUAAGCUUAUGAACUUUGGAUUUGACGUCAUUGUUUUCCUCAAUGACCUUGUUGAAGUCGGCCAGCUUGGGGCCGGAGAUUUUCGUGACCUCUUGUCCUAGCUUGAGGGCCUUGUCAAUGUAGUC